GAUUGAAGUAAGCAUGGUAAUGUGCAAACAAAUUGAUUUGGGUUUCUAAGUCUGCCCUCUCUGAUGCCUUUUUGCUUCGAUAGGCAUGGUUCCGCUGCAAAACA